AACGAACGCUGGCGGCAUGCCUAACACAUGCAAGUCGAACGAGACCUUCGGGUCUAGUGGCGCACGGGUGCGUAACGCGUGGGAACCUGCCCUUAGGUUCGGAAUAACUCCCCGACAGGGGUGCUAAUACCGGAUAAUGUCUUCGGACCAAAGAUUUAUCGCCUUUGGAUGGGCCCGCGUUGGAUUAGCUAGUUGGUAGGGUAAAAGCCUACCAAGGCGACGAUCCAUAGCUGGUCUGAGAGGAUGAUCAGCCACACUGGGACUGAGACACGGCCCAGACUCCUACGGGAGGCAGGAGGGGGGAAUAUUGGACAAUGGGCGAAAGCCUGAUCCAGCAAUGCCGCGUGAGUGAUGAAGGCCUUAGGGUUGUAAAGCUCUUUUACCCGGGAUGAUAAUGACAGUACCGGGAGAAUAAGCGCCGGCUAACUCCGUG
rnacentral:rRNA from 1 species